rnacentral:rRNA from 1 species
UACAGAGGUCCCGAGCGUUGUUCGGAUUCACUGGGCGUAAAGGGUGCGCAGGUGGGCUGGUAAGUUCGAUGUGAAAGCCCUGGGCUCAACCUGGGAACGGCAUUGGAAACUGGCUUACUAGAGUGCGGUAGAGGGGUGUGGAAUUCCCGGUGUAGCAGUGAAAUGCGUAGAUAUCGGGAGGAACAUCUGUGGCGAAGGCGACACCCUGGACCAGCACUGACACUGAGGCACGAAAGCGUGGGGAGCAAACAGG